AGCUAUUCCAGUGUGUGAGAGCGUCUAACUGCAUUCUCCCAUCGAAAAGCCCUUGGUUGGAAGGCUUCUCAAGGGAAAGAGGGACAGUCUGGAGAAAACAACAUUGAAAAGAACUGAGCAAAAGACAAAGCAGACUUCAGCUCAGCAUCUCCAGUGUGUGUCAAUGCGUUAGAGGUGAUCCCUUAACCUAUGCAGCUGCAUGUCCUCAGAGGUACCUUGACCUGCGAUGAUCCCCUCACCAAAUGAAUAUGGGCUGGUUGGGAGAAAAAGCUGGCGAAGGAGCCACAGGACCAGUGAUUAAGCACAGGCUCAAGACAGCCUCCCAAGCAUGUCCUGACCCAGCAAUGAGUUCACACUAUCUUCACCUCUCCUGCAGCAAACUGAACUCCAUGGUGUGUUCCUCCAUGCUGCAUUUGAAUACUUUCAUCUGCCUUCCCCAACAAGUUCAAGACAUUUCUCAGGCAGGUGUCAGCCUAUGUGACCUGUGCCUCAUCUCAUGAUGUUGAUGUUUAUAUCAGUUGCACCAACUAAAAAUCAUUUUUUCUUCCUUUUUGUUUCCCUUCUUUUCUGCAAGAGGGUAAUGGCCAAUCCCUUCAGACCCCAGUAUUGCAAUAUUAAAUAAGUUGUGCUGAUACAUGAACCAAGGUUUCCCCUGAGAGCCAGCUUCAGACCUGAGCUCAUUUGUUUCUAUUCCUUUCGCACAGGAACAGAGGUUGCCUGAACUCCCCACAUCACUGGCUCUUAUCUCACCAAGACCCUGACUCCCAGGAGUAACAAGACAGAUUUUGCUGAAGAUUUCACAGGUCCAUAUUGCAACACCCAAAGCACAAGCCUUGCAAGCUCAGUGAUGAUGUGUUUAUACACUUUCCAAGGGGACACCACUAUCUAGUCUUGCCCUGAAUCCAGAGUUGUUUCUCAGCCAUCCCCUUCUUCUGAUACUAUUAGCAAAGUGGGUCCAAUAAACUUGGGUGGAUUUACUAACUUGAAGAUACUGCAAGGGUUUAGGGGCAAGCUUGAUACUGUAUCAUUUCAGACAUGGAAACUGGUUUUAGUAAGCUUAAGGUGUAAAGUGGUUGCCAGUAGACUGAUAGCCAAAUCCCUCUGAAAUCAAGAAAAGCUUAUGCACAACCUUCAGUGCACUUUAGAUCAGGUCCUCAGUGAAAAUGGGAAAGACGACAGCAAGGCAGAAUUCUCUCAUUUGGUUCAUGAAUGAGAAAAAAAAGGUAAGAAACAGAUGUGGCAGAAGGUGCAAAGGCUGCAAAAUAAGUGCUACAACAUCAACUGAUGGAAAACAUUGAGGGAAAUAGGGAAAACCAUUAUGGCCAAGGGUAGAAAAGCAGAUGUGUUUUAAUAAUCUCUGCCCUAUUUCUUUGCACCUAACAAAUGAAGAACCACCCCCAUAUUCUAGGUGUUGCAUAGAAAAGCAGAGCAAUUGAAGCAAGAGGAAAAUAGUAGGGCUGGGCAACAUUGGUCAGUUAAAGUUUCCUGAAGACCAGAAAUUCAGAUUAGUUCUUCUUGAAAUGUUUAAUGCACUCAUUCAUUUCCUUUUCAUUGAAUUACUCUUUUAAUGGAAAGAAAACAAGAGGAAAAAAAUAGAUGUUUUGUUUUGACAUUUUCCAAAUGAAAUUAUUCAAGUUUUCAAUCAAGCUUUUCAUUUUUAAUUUCCCUUCCUUUCAUCUCUUUUUCUGGGGGGGGUGGGGAGGGAAGUGUAUCCAUUUCAAAAUUGCUGCAGCUGGAAAGAGCUGUUUCAGGUCAAGCUGAAUAUACUAAUGGUUUAAAAAAUAAAUCAGAAAUCGUUUCUCAGCUCAGCAAACUUCUUUUUAAACAUAAAUUUGUUUUCAAUUUGUUCUGAGAUUAUUUUUAUUUCUGUCUUUCUGAAACUGACAACAACACUGUCAAGAAGGUUUUAUAUUAUUAAUACACUGCAAAACUACAAAAUGCUGUUGGAAGAGAGCUCCGGAGAUUUUAUGUGAACUCUCUGCAACUGGUAAACAAGGAUGAACAGAAACAUUUACUAUGACAGUGUCCCAAAUUGUUCUGACGCUACAGUAAAUGUAACCAAAUAACACGGUUCUGAUAAAGGAAAACAUCCAGCUUUGCUGCACCUCAUGAAUAGCAGCCCAAACCACUUGCUGCCCCCUGCAACCCAGUAUUUUUACUUGGGUUUAUGUUCCUGCAAAAGGACCAAAUGAGCCCCUGGACUGCAUGUAUUUUUUUCUUUCUCAGCUGAGAAAUAUAAUUUUAUAAUUGCAACCAUGAAGAAAACUUUAUAUUGCUGUGUUCGAAGUGGAAAGCUUGGCAGCUUUGCUACAUGAGAGCAGUCAUUCAAGCAGUGCCUGAAGUACUGAAUAUGAGCAAAGAAUAAUUAUAGCAACACAGUGUACACUGCAAUAGCAGAGGUGUGUCAGCAUUUCAGUGUAAAAUCUGUGGAUCACUUUGUGAUGGCAUCAGUGAGGAGCUCAAUGCAUUUUGCCUCGACAAAAUGCUCUGUCUGAAUUUUGACUUCCUCUACUUCCUUCAUCAGAAAUAAAGGACUUCCAGAUUUGA
ensembl:lncRNA